GGAAUGAAAGCUGAGCACGUUACCUUUGAACCAUGGCCGUUUUCUGACUCAAUGGUAUUUAAAACAUCUAUUUGAAAUAAUUUACGGGUUAUCCUUUUAAAAGUAGGCCGGAUGAAAAAUAGUAAACAAUCAGCUUCUAAAAGUAAAAACAAAAGUUGUGAAAGCUGCCGUACGAAAUAAAUUAUCCUUGCCAUCAAUUUUGCAUACCAUGAAUUGAUAAUCUCCGUGUGAGUCGUAUCCGCAACAUUUAAAUUUGAACUUCGAAAAAGGAACAUACCUACAAAAUAUGUGGACCGUGAACAAGCCGCUGCAAUUUCUGUUACAAUACAAUCCAAUUUUAAAGAACUGCAGAAACAGAGUCUACAGGAGGAAGUUAUUGGCUGAUACCAGAAAACAAAAUUUAAGAAAAUUAUCAAAAUUGUUCGAUUUUUACGGAAAAUCGUCGCAUUCAACAUGGAAAAAUAAUGAGCUAAAUCGACCCACAUUUCCUAAGGAUCCAUCGAUCCGUCGAAAUA